GCAAGAAUGAAACUCAAAGGAAUUGACGGGGGCCCGCACAAGCGGAGGAACAUGUGGUUUAAUUCGAUGAUACGCGAGGAACCUUACCUGGACUUAAAUGUAGCGUGACCGUACUUGAAAGAGUAUUUCUCUUCGGAGCAGGUUACAAGGUGCUGCAUGGCUGUCGUCAGCUCGUGCCGUGAGGUGUCGGGUUAAGUCCCAUAACGAGCGCAACCCCUAUUGUUAGUUGCUAACAGGUCAAGCUGAGGACUCUAGCGAGACUGCCACCGUAAGGUGUGAGGAAGGUGGGGAUGACGUCAAGUCAGCACGGCCCUUACGUCCAGGGCUACACACGUGUUACAAUGGUCGGUACAGAGAGCAGCUACUUGGUGACAAGAUGCGAAUCUUUUAAAGCCGGUCUUAGUUCGGAUCGAAGUCUGCAACUCGACUUCGUGAAGUUGGAUUCGCUAGUAAUCGCAUAUCAGCCAUGAUGCGGUGAAUACGUUCCCGGGCCUUGUACACACCGCCCGUCAAGCCAUGGAAGCUGGGGGUACCUGAAGUCCGUAACCAUUAAGGAUCGGCCUAGGGUAAAACUGGUAACUGGGGCUAAGUCGUAACAAGGUA
rnacentral:rRNA from 1 species